GAUGAACGCUGGCGGCGUGCCUAAUACAUGCCAGUCGAGCGAACAGACGAGGAGCUUGCUCCUCUGACGUUAGCGGCGGACGGGUGAGUAACACGUGGAUAACCUACCUAUAAUACUGGGAUAACUUCGGGAAACCGGCUCUAAUCCCGGAUAAUAUAUUGAACCGCAUGGGUCAAUAGUGAGAUACGGUUUUGCUGUCUCUUAUAGAUGGAUCCGCGCCGCAUUAGCUAGUUGGUAAGGUAACGGCUUACCAAGGCGACGAUGCGUAGCCGACCUGAGAGGGUGGUCGGCCACACUGGAACUGAGACACGGUCCAGACUCCUACGGGAGGCAGCAGUAGGGAAUCUUCCGCAAUGGGCGAAAGCCUGACGGAGCAACGCCACGUGAGUGAUGAAGGUCUUAGGAUCGUAAAACUCUGUUAUUAGGGAAGAACAAAUGUGUAAGUAACUAUGCACGUAUUGACGGUAACUAAUCAGAAAGCAACGGCUAACUACGUG
rnacentral:rRNA from 1 species